rnacentral:rRNA from 1 species
UAUAAGAGGUCCUGCCUGCCCAGUGACUAUAUGUUUAACGGCCGCGGUACUUUGACCGUGCGAAGGUAGCGCAAUCACUUGUCUUUUAAAUGAAGACCUGUAUGAAUGGCACGACGAGGGCUUAACUGUCUCCUUUUUCCAGUCAAUGAAAUUGAUCUUCCCGUGCAGAAGCGGGAAUAAUAUCAUAAGACGAGAAGACCCUGUGGAGCUUUAGACACUAAAUCAGCCCUUGUCCAAGAAUCCCAAUUAAAGGAAUGAACACUAGAGUGAGACCUGAUCUAAUGUCUUCGGUUGGGGCGACCUUGGGGAAAGAAAAAUCCCCCAUGCGGAACGGAAAUACCAUAUUUCUAAAACUAAGAGAGACCACUCAAAGUAUCAAAAAUUUUGACCAACUAUAUGAUCCGGCUUAACGCCGAUCAACGGACCAAGUUACCCCAGGGAUAACAGCGCAAUCCUCUUUUAGAGCCCAUAUCGACAAGAGGGUUUACGACCUCGAUGUUGGAUCAGGACAUCCUAAUGGUGCAGCCGCUAUUAAGGGUUCGUUUGUUCAACGAUUAAAGUCCU